rnacentral:rRNA from 1 species
AACGAACGCUGGCGGCAUGCCUAACACAUGCAAGUCGAACGAGAUCUUCGGGUCUAGUGGCGCACGGGUGCGUAACGCGUGGGAAUCUGCCCUUUGGUUCGGAAUAACAGUUGGAAACGACUGCUAAUACCGGAUGAUGACGAAAGUCCAAAGAUUUAUCGCCAGAGGAUGAGCCCGCGUAGGAUUAGCUAGUUGGUGUGGUAAAGGCGCACCAAGGCGACGAUCCUUAGCUGGUCUGAGAGGAUGAUCAGCCACACUGGGACUGAGGCACGGCCCAGACUCCUACGGGAGGCAGCAGUGGGGAAAAUUGGACAAUGGGCGAAAGCCUGAUCCAGCAAUGCCGCGUGAGUGAUGAAGGCCUUAGGGUUGUAAAGCUCUUUUACCCGGGAUGAUAAUGACAGUACCGGGAGAAUAAGCUCCGGCUAACUCCGUGCCAGCCGCCGCAGUAA